rnacentral:rRNA from 1 species
GACGAACGCUGGCGGCGUGCCUAAUACAUGCAAGUAGAACGCUGAAGGAGGAGCUUGCUUCUCUGGAUGAGUUGCGAACGGGUGAGUAACGCGUAGGUAACCUGCCUGGUAGCGGGGGAUAACUAUUGGAAACGAUAGCUAAUACCGCAUAAUAGUAGAUGUUGCAUGACAUUUGCUUAAAAGGUGCAAUUGCAUCACUACCAGAUGGACCUGCGUUGUAUUAGCUAGUUGGUGAGGUAACGGCUCACCAAGGCAACGAUACAUAGCCGACCUGAGAGGGUGAUCGGCCACACUGGGACUGAGACACGGCCCAGACUCCUACGGGAGGCAGCAGUAGGGAAUCUUCGGCAAUGGACGGAAGUCUGACCGAGCAACGCCGCGUGAGUGAAGAAGGUUUCCGGAUCGUAAAGCUCUGUUGUAAGAGAAGAACGAGUGUGAGAGUGGAAAGUUCACACUGUGACGGUAUCUUACCAGAAAGGGACGGCUAACUACGUG